rnacentral:rRNA from 1 species
AUUGAACGCUGGCGGCAUGCCUUACACAUGCAAGUCGAACGGCAGCAUAGAGAGCUUGCUCUCUGAUGGCGAGUGGCGAACGGGUGAGUAAAGCAUCGGAACGUACCGUGUAGUGGGGGAUAACGUAGCGAAAGUUACGCUAAUACCGCAUACGUACUGAGGUAGAAAGCAGGGGAUCGUAAGACCUUGCGCUAUACGAGCGGCCGAUGUCAGAUUAGCUAGUUGGUAGGGUAAAGGCCUACCAAGGCGACGAUCUGUAGCGGGUCUGAGAGGAUGAUCCGCCACACUGGGACUGCGAAACGGCCCAGGCUCCUACGGGAGGCAGCUGUGGGGAAUUUUGGACAAUGGGGGCAACCCUGAUCCAGCAAUGCCGCGUGAGUGAAGAAGGCCUUCGGGUUGUAAAGCUCUUUUGUCAGGGAAGAAACACCGGCUCUAACACAGUCCGGGAAUGACGGUACCUGAAGAAUGAGCACCGGCUAACUACGUGCCAGCAGCCGCCGCCG